rnacentral:misc_RNA from 1 species
GAAAUGCGAUAAGUAAUGUGAAUUGCAGAAUUCAGUGAAUCAUCGAAUCUUUGAACGCACCUUGCGCUCCUUGGUAUUCCUUGGAGCAUGCCUGUUUGAGUAUCAUGAAAUCUUCAAAGUAAAUCUUUUGUUAACUCAAUUGGUUUCUACUUUGGUAUUGGAGGUCUUUGCAGCUUCACACCUGCUCCUCUUUGUUCAUUAGCUGGAUCUCAGUGUUAUGCUUGGUUCCACUCGGCGUGAUAAGUUAUCUAUCGCUGAGGACACUGUAAAAGGUGGCCAAGGUAAAUGCAGAUGAACCGCUUCUAAUAGUCCAUUGACUUGGACAAUACUUUUAUGAUCUGAUCUCAAAUCAGGUAGGACUACCCGCUGAACUAGAG